rnacentral:rRNA from 1 species
UACAGAGGUCUCAAGCGUUGUUCGGAAUCACUGGGCGUAAAGGGUGCGUAGGCUGCACGGUAAGUCAGAUGUGAAAGCCCGGAGCUCAACUUCGGAAUUGCAUCCGAUACUGCCGUGCUUGAGGACUGGAGAGGAGAUUGGAAUUCACAGUGGAGCAGUGAAAUGCGUAGAUAUUGUGAGGAACACUAGUGGCGAAGGCGAAUCUCUGGACAGUUCCUGACGCUGAGGCACGAAGGCCAGGGGAGCAAACGGG